UAGUAUCUUCAGGGCAGGGUGUAAUUCCCGACCGGCGGUUAAAGUCCGCGAGCUAUACUUGGUAUGGCUGAUUUGGUGAGAUUCCAAAACCGACAGUAAAGUCUGGAUGAGAGAAGGUAUAG
rnacentral:ncRNA from 2 species